GACGAACCGUGCGAACGUUGUUCGGAAUCACUGGGCUUAAAGGGCGCGUAGGCGGCUUGGCAAGUGGAUGGUGAAAUCCCUCGGCUUAACCGAGGAACUGCCGUCCAAACUGCUUCGCUUGAGACCGGGAGAGGUGAGUGGAAUUCCCAGUGUAGCGGUGAAAUGCGUAGAUAUUGGGAGGAACACCAGUGGCGAAGGCGGCUCACUGGACCGGUACUGACGCUGAUGCGCGAAAGCGUGGGGAGCAAACGGG
rnacentral:rRNA from 2 species